rnacentral:sRNA from 1 species
GAGUUCCACAAACAUGUGGAGUUUGAUUUCCUUAUUAAGGGCCAGUUUCUGCGAAUGCCCUUGGACAAACACAUGGAAAUGGAGAACAUCUCAUCAGAAGAAGUUGUGGAAAUAGAAUACGUGGAGAAGUAUACUGCGCCCCAGCCAGAGCAAUGCAUGUUCCAUGAUGACUGGAUCAGUUCAAUUAAAGGGGCAGAGGAAUGGAUCUUGACUGGUUCUUAUGAUAAGACUUCUCGGAUCUGGUCCUUGGAAGGAAAGUCAAUAAUGACAAUUGUGGGACAUACGGAUGUUGUAAAAGAUGUGGCCUGGGUGAAAAAAGAUAGUUUGUCCUGCUUAUUAUUGAGUGCUUCUAUGGAUCAGACUAUUCUCUUAUGGGAGUGGAAUGUAGAGAGAAACAAAGUGAAAGCCCUACACUGCUGUAGAGGUCAUGCUGGAAGUGUAGAUUCUAUAGCUGUUGAUGGCUCAGGAACUAAAGUAAGUAGCUAGAAUAUUAUUAGUACUGUGUUAAAUUUGAAUUUGAGCUUGUUGCUAAACAUUUUUU